CGCGAAUGGCUCAUUACAACAGCUAUAAUUUACUUGAUCUUGACUUCCUACUUGGAUAACUGUGGUAAUUCUAGAGCUAAUACAUGCACCAAAGCUCCGACCUUACGGGAAGAGCGCAUUUAUUCGAACAAAACCAAGCGGCUUCGGCUGUUUCUGGUUGACUCAUAGUAACUGAGCUGAUCGCAUGGUCUUGCGCCGGCGACGUGUCUUUCAAGUAUCUGCCGUAUCAACUUUCGAUGGUAGUGUAUCUGACUACCAUGGUGAUCACGCGUAACGGAGGAUAAGGGUUCGACUCCGGAGAAGGGGCCUGAGAAAUGGCCACUACGUCUAAGGAUGGCAGCAGGCGCGCAAAUUACCCACUCUCAGUACGAGGAGGUAGUGACGAGAAAUAACAAGACCGUUCUCACAAGAGGCCGGUCAUUGGAAUGGGUACAAUUUAAACCCUUUAACGAGUAUCUAUGAGAGGGCAAGUCUGGUGCCAGCAGCCGCGGUAAUUCCAGCU
rnacentral:rRNA from 1 species